UCCCCUGGCUGCCUGGUCCCCAACGUCCCCCCGGCCUCCGGCGCAGCCCUCCUCCUGUGCCUCCUCUGGUCCCGGCCUCCGCCCGCGUUGCGACGGCGGUGGCGGAGCCUGUGCUGGUGUCCCCCUCCCCUCUUCUUCUCCCUCCCCUCACCCUGUCCCUUCUCUGGAUCGACGGAGCCAGCAGUACCGGCGGUGGCGGAGGUGGCGACGGGGGGGGGGGGGGGGGGAGGACGAGGUGGCGGUGAGGAGGUACUGUUGCCGUCCCCUCGCGCCUCCGCACGCGCUGCGCCCGUCGGACCUGCCGCCGAUGCCGCCUCCCUCCUUCUUCUUACUCCCCUUGUGGUGGCAUCGGCGGGGGAGGACGGACGCGGCACCCGUCGGAGCUAGCGCAGGUGCUUCCUUACUCCUUCUCCCUCCACUUGGUGGCAGCUGCGGCAGGGGGAGGGCGGAUGCGGCGCCCGUCGGGCCCUGCGGUGGCGGCGGAGCUGACCGCGCGACCGCCACUACCUCCUCGUCAUUUCCCUAGCCGUCGUCUCCGGCCGUGAGGAGGCUGUUGGCCUGUUGCCACUGGAUCCAGCGACCCCGGCCACUUCGCCGGCGGCUCUGGUCGACCGGAGUAAUUUGACGCUGGCCGGUGCCGUGCUCUUCGUCUCCACCAUGCUGUCGCUUCCUCUAUCCUGCCCUCUUGCCCCGCUCGGUGGGGUGCCGGAUUUGCUUCUAGGUUCGUCGGAUCCGAUGACCUCGGUCUCCCCCCUGCACUCUUCUUCUCUUCCUCCCCGUCCUCCACCGUCCCUCUCUCCCUUUCCCCCUCUUCCUUUUGCUCUUCACUCCUCUCUAUGCCAGAUCCGGCUCAUGGACUGCGUGGUCUGUUACAAGGAUGGUGUAGGAGCGCUUGGUUUGUGGGGCGGCCAAGCAACUGCUGCGAGGCCGGGCCGUCGGGGAGUAGGGAGAGAGAGCGGCAGUUCCGCGACGACUACAACGACGACUUUGGCAAGGCACGACGGUUGCGAUGGCGAAGGCCACUAUCCGGGUUGGUUGUUCCUGCUCGCUCGGUAUUAGCUGCUACACAAAUGCCAGGGGAGGCUGCUGGUUGGUUCCGGGAUACAGCAGAUGCAGUUGAAAAUUUUUUCUGGGCACUUGAGGACUAUAUAGCACAUUUUAAGCUUGUCAGGGGAUCAGCUUUAUCGUAUGGAUUACAUGAAGCUCAUGCAGAAACAUUUUGACAACAGUGCUGACAUUACUUCAUCAUGUGCUCCUGUUGGAAAGAGGCAUAUGUCUUCGCUGACUACUAGGAAGACAUUGGAACGAUCAGAUUGUUCUUUGAUGCAAACAUGGCACUCUGUGAGGAGGAAGCUCUUGAUGUUCUUCAAGAAGGGCACUGAGCAGAACCGUGGAGAAUAAUCUAUGUUAAAAUUAUAAUUUGUAUGUUUACAUGUGUAUGCUUGUUUUCGAUUCAUGGAUGUCUGCCUACCUACCUGUUGAUGUGUUGUUACUUUGCACGUCCGCGUCCCACUGCAGCAACUGUCGUCGUGGCAUGAGCGAAAACUUGGUCUCGAUACCACGCCAUCUCCUUCAUUCGCUCACAUUUAGCUGCCUAUGUUUGUUUGUAACAAAGAAAUAACAGGGUGAAAUUUAUCUUUACCAGUAUUUAGCCACUCCAUGUAUUCGCCAUCACUCAUGUAUUCAUGUUCCCUUCAAGGCAAGCAACGCAUUGUCUUCUAAUUAAAAAA